CUAUGCUCACUAACUAGAUACCACUAGGUUCACACUAGCAAGCAGGAGAAGGUAACACUGCUCUGCACCCCUGGGAAGCUCACUCUUCCAGGAAGGGAAAGGGAGGUGUGAUCAUCCAGUGUGCAGCAAAAGACUGACAGCACAUCAUGUCAAAUCAGUGUCGAAGUUCACUGCAAACUUGCUGGAAGUAUGUGGGCAAGGAGGAGAGAAAUUCAUCUGGAUGGUGAGAAGUGCAAACCUAAGGCAAUGCACCCAAAAAAAACCAAAGGUGCCUACUUGGAAGACUGCAGAAUGUACCUCCUGGAGAUCAUGCAGAAGGAGCAAGAAAUAAUGGGAAAGAAGACAAAGAAGAAAGACUGCCAUCUGCAAGCUGUUGAAAAACUAACAUGUUGGUCCUCAGAAUGAAGAAGGAAAGCUGACUACGAAGCCCUUAUGAGUAUAUUAUUCUGCAAAAUGCUGCAGUACAUUAAUAUAGACAGAAGCUUACGAAAGAACUAAUAAAUGCACUCAGAACUGAAUUCCCAUUGCAUUCCCAGACUCUUCAACUGCUUUUCUGUGCAAGAA
ensembl:lncRNA